GCCCGAGUGGCGGAAUGGUAGACGCAGCGGAUUCAAAAUCCGCCGGUAGCAAUAUCGUGCGAGUUCGAGUCUCGCCUCGGGCA
rnacentral:tRNA from 2 species